rnacentral:rRNA from 1 species
UACGUAGGGUGCGAGCGUUAAUCGGAAUUACUGGGCGUAAAGCGUGCGCAGGCGGUUUGUAAGUCUGUCGUGAAAUCCCCGGGCUCAACCUGGGAAUUGCGAUGGAGACUGCAAGGCUAGAAUCUGGCAGAGGGGGGUAGAAUUCCACGUGUAGCAGUGAAAUGCGUAGAGAUGUGGAGGAACACCGAUGGCGAAGGCAGCCCCCUGGGUCAAGAUUGACGCUCAUGCACGAAAGGCGUGGGGAGCAACAGG